AAUUUUAUGGACGAAUAGCAUUAAGGAAAUUUUUAAUUUUUAGAGAAUUUUUUAGAAUUUGUAUGCAGUAUUUUGAGAGGAUGAAAUUAUAGGUUUGAAAAAAAUUAAUUUGGAAUAUCUAAAGAUGGGAAUUAAUUGAGGAAUUUAACCUUAAUUAUCUAACCUAAGUUAAUUCUUUUUAUUUUCUCUUCCUCCACGCCGAACUCCUCCUCUUCCCCUCUUCCUCUUCGGUGAGCUCGCGCCGUCGCCACCUCUUCCCCGAGCUCUCCAUCUCCCUCACCCGACACCGAUUUCUUCCUCUUCUUUUGUUGAAUUUCCUCCCCUCUCUGCCAUCGUCUUCCUCUUCUCCAAAUAGCCCCGAUCCCCCUCCUCAUCUUCUUCACCUGUGCCCUAACCUCCACGGCUUCUCACCGACGCCGACACCUGAUCCGUCGUCGCUGACCCUCGAUUCACUGUCGGCUGAGGGUUACUGCUCUCCUCCUCCAUGCACAUCUAGUUCCUUUCGAGCCACCUCAUGCAGGGGAGUCGUCGGCCAAGGGCGGGGAGCCGUCGACCUGUAGUCGCUGCCUCUGUACGCCGCGACCCCGAUCUCGACCUCAGAUCCUUCGGCUAAACCUCUACCACUAGGGCAUCACCAUUCGUUCACAGUGCCAAGCUUCGCCUAGUAGCGCCACCGAAUUCCAAUACACUAAGCCGAGGUCAAGCUCUUCUCCAGAUCUUAUGGGCAACAGAACCUACUUCUGCUCUAGUUGGCGCUAUCUUCUUCUCCUCCAUGUGUGACAAGGCUUCGCUGGAGAUAACGCCUUGCUGUGGAUCUUUGGAAGGGAUGUCUGGCCAUGUUUGGCCAACAGCAGGUCAUGGAUGAUUUCAUCGACAUCAUCGCUUGAGGGUGCCUUGAUAUUGACUGCCACAUUUGAGGUGACAUUUUGUAUAUGGUCUGACGACCCUUAUGUUCCGGAUAGGAGGUCUUGGCUUCAGAUAGAUAUUUGUGGAGUCGCUUGGAGUAUCCUGUCUGCUGGUCCUACGUCACAUCAGAAGACCUGUUUUCUGGUUUCUUUAAUACUUUAUUUGGUUUAUGUAUUCAGUAUACUUAGUUUUGUAUAUUCCGAAUUUGUUUCUGGAUUGUUGUGAUGUGGUGUCUUGUAUUGUUUGUGGUGUGGUGUAAGCCUAGCCAGCUAGCAGUCUUGUUUUUGGUUUGUAAUGGUUUUCUAUCAUUUUCUGU